rnacentral:rRNA from 1 species
AUUGAACGCUGGCGGCAUGCCUUACACAUGCAAGUCGAACGGCAGCACGGGUGCUUGCACCUGGUGGCGAGUGGCGAACGGGUGAGUAAUACAUCGGAACGUACCUUAUCGUGGGGGAUAACGCAGCGAAAGCUGUGCUAAUACCGCAUACGCCUUGAGGGGGAAAGCGGGGGAUCGAAAGACCUCGCGCGAUUAGAGGGGACGAUGCCUGAUUAGCUUGUUGGUGGGGUAAGAGCCCACCAAGGCGACGAUCAGUAGCUGGUCUGAGAGGACGAUCAGCCACACUGGGACUGAGACACGGCCCAGACUCCUACGGGAGGCAGCAGUGGGGAAUUUUGGACAAUGGGGGCAACCCUGAUCCAGCAAUGCCGCGUGAGUGAAGAAGGCCUUCGGGUUGUAAAGCUCUUUUGUCAGGGAAGAAACACCGGCUCUAACACAGUCCGGGAAUGACGGUACCUGAAGAAUAAGCACCGGCUAACUACGUGCCAGCCGCCGCAGUAA